GGCUACCUGGCGCAAUGGUAGCGCGUUUGGCUUCGAUCGCUUAACGGCUACAUCCCUACCUUGGGGGCGACCAAAAGGUUGCAGGUUCGAGUCCUGCGGUGGUCA